rnacentral:rRNA from 1 species
GACAGAGGAUGCAAGCGUUAUCCGGAAUGAUUGGGCGUAAAGCGUCUGUAGGUGGCUUUUUAAGUCCGCCGUCAAAUCCCAGGGCUCAACCCUGGACAGGCGGUGGAAACUACCAAGCUGGAGUACGGUAGGGGCAGAGGGAAUUUCCGGUGGAGCGGUGAAAUUCGUAGAUAUUCGCAAGAACACCAGUGGCGAAGGCACUCUACUGGGCCAUGACUGACACUAAGAGACGAAAGCUAGGGGAGCAAAUGGG